GGGUUGUGAGGUUAAGCGAACAAGCGUACACGGUGGAUGCCCUGGCAGUCAGAGGCGAUGAAGGACGUGCUAAUCUGCGAUAAGCGCCGGUAAGGUGAUAUGAACCGUUAUAACCGGCGAUUUCCGAAUGGGGAAACCCAGUGUGACUCGUCACACUAUCAUUAACUGAAUCCAUAGGUUAAUGAGGCGAACCGGGGGAACUGAAACAUCUAAGUACCCCGAGGAAAAGAAAUCAACCGAGAUUCCCCCAGUAGCGGCGAGCGAACGGGGAGGAGCCCAGAGCCUGAAUCAGCAUGUGUGUUAGUGGAAGCGUCUGGAAAGGCGCGCGAUACAGGGUGACAGCCCCGUACACAAAAGCGCAUGUGCUGUGAGCUCGAUGAGUAGGGCGGGACACGUGGUAUCCUGUCUGAAUAUGGGGGGACCAUCCUCCAAGGCUAAAUACUCCUGACUGACCGAUAGUGAACCAGUACCGUGAGGGAAAGGCGAAAAGAACCCCGGCGAGGGGAGUGAAAAAGAACCUGAAACCGU
rnacentral:rRNA from 1 species